GUGGAAACUGCAGCUCCAGCUUCAGUUUUGCCCACAAACACACAGAAGACAGGACAGGGAAGGAGUCACAGCACAUGUGCCUGCAAGGAGAAAGAAGGGCAAGAGAACACCUCCUCUCCACCCACCAAGAGGGGAUAUGGGUUCAUCCCCAGAUGAAUCAGACCAUGAAGCCAUUUCUGAGCUAAAAAUCUCCAUGUUAUUGCUUCUCCCAGCUAUCCUCCCCCCUGUGUCCCCUCACCAUGACAGAUUUCAGCUCCCUCCUUCCCGUGGAAAAUACAGCUUUCAUCUAUCUGCAUAGUUGAGGAACAAAACUGUAAAUCCCCAUAUAGCACACAUCAUGUAACACACACUGCCACUUCCAUCACUGCUUACAAAGAUCUCUUGUGCUUUGGAUGGUGGUUGUAACAGGACCUUCCUUGUGAUAUAUGUGACACUGUCACAUCCUGCCUUUUCUUCUCCAAAAUUAAUUUCCCUCUCAGAAGCAAACUCAUCUGUUCUCAACACCCCUUGCUCCAGUGACACUGGACUGACUCAUCCUCAUCAGCAGAGAAUGGCACAGAGCUUUUGCAAGGAGACUAUGGGUGAAACCCUCAAGGGCAAAUAGCAUCAGCAGUGAAGCUGUGCUUGCAAAACCAUCUGCUUCCACCUUGCUCUGCUUUUUCCCCUCUCCAUCCCCUCACGGCUGGCUGCCUUCCUGUCUUGAGCCCCUCCGGCUGUUUGUUGCAGGGCAGCAGACCCUGUUCAUGGGGGAUCAUGACCCUCUGGGCUCCUUCCUCCUCUGCUCAGGGACACGUAGGAAGGAGGGAGGAGCAACCAGGAAACAUGGCCACGACCUCAGACAAUUUUAUGAACCAAAAGAACUCAAUCUCUCAUUUUCUCCACACUCUUUGCAUUAGGGUAAGGUUUACCUCUGACCCAUGUCAACGUCACCAAGAAUAUACCAUCUUUCCCAAGGCAUCCCCUUUUUCUCCCACUCUUUUCUGCUGCUCCCUUCUCACCCUGCUUGUCCUGAACCCACCUAUCCUCUUUCUGGCAUUUUCUUCCACCUCUGCUCAGCUUUUGUUUGAAAUGUUGAACACAACCACACACAUCACAGGAGGAGCGAAAGAGAACUGCCUGUGUGAGGUGGUUUCAUGUUGGAAAAAGGGAAGAUGAGAAGGGGAAGGGAAUGCAGAGCUCCCAGCCUGGAAGCGGCUCGGCAGAAUUCAGGUGGGCGCAGCAGAAACGCAAGUGAGGGCCUCCGGGAGCUGCCAGCGUGGGGCAGAUGGAGGCAGGAAGGGCAUUCCCUGCUGACUCAGGCCUGCCACCAGCACUGAUGAGCCCCACACCUCUGAUGAGUGCUGCACACCCCGGGUUUCGCUCAGGCCAGUGGCAGGGCGGAAAGACACCGCCAGCCCACGCUGUCACCUCCCCGAUGGCUCAAGGAGUGCUUGCAAAAGUCAGCCUCUGACAUCCCAGCCAGCAGCCCAUGGGAGCACAGAGGGAGAGAAAAGCAAAGCUCAGGCUGCUUUGCACAGAAUGCUGAGGGGUUUCGCUGAGCCGGCUGUCUGCAGACACCUCCACCAGCAUGGGUUGGUUUGGUCACUAAGGAAAGCAGGGCAGGGGCUGGCAGUGGGAGCACAGUACUGUUCCAUGUCUCCAUGGCCUGGAGUUCCUGCAGAUGUCAUGGGGACUCCUGACAAAUGUGCACAAAAGCGGCUCAGGGAGCAGGCGAGCAGGGACUUGCUUUACAUCCCUGGGACUCCCCCAUGAUACAGAUGCUGCGGGUUUUACCCCCACACAGCUCAUCACCCCUUUAUUUUAAGCAGUUCACCUAGAGGCCAAGCAGCCAGGAGGAAGUAAUCUCUAAAACCACAAGAGAAACCUCCCACCAGGGGUGUGUACAAGAGCUGGAUGGGGAGGGGGAAAUAUUUGCAUUUACCUCAUCAAAAUCUCCAUAUAAAUGGGCUGAGAAGCGUCGGGCUUUCUCAGCUCCCAGGUGCAUGAAGCAGGGACAUCCAAGAGGAUGAUGGCAGCUCACUUCUUGCUGCAGUUCCUCCUCUUCGGGACUCUACUCGUCCCUGUGUACCUGCAGAUGGAAGGAUGUGAUUUUCUCCAGGAUGCAGUCAAGGGCAAUUUCUCAGUGACUGUGACACCUGAGGAGUACGUGGCCAACACAACCUACCAGGUUACAAUAAGAGAUGACGGAAACAGCACCACCAUCAGAAAUGUGACCAUGUAUUUACUUCAAGCCUUGUCCUCUGAAAAUACCACUGCAGGAGAAUGGAAUGUAGUAGAAAAACUAAACUGCAGUAAUGUUGCGACAGCAAUGCUAAAUACCACUCAGGAAGAAGCAGCAGCAAACUGGACAUCUCCAAACAGUAACAUAUCUUCCGUGGAAAUAAGGGCAUAUAUCAUCUAUGAAAACAAUAUCACUGAGUUCAAGACGGCGAUUCUGCAGGAAGUUCCACGAACAGAUCCAACCACAGCCUCGACAACCCCUGACUCCGUCUCCGCAGUCCAGAGCAGCUGCUUCUUCAUCGCCGUCACUCAGCUGCUGAUGCUCCUCACUACAAGCAAACUGCUCUCCUAGGAGAUGGGGAGAGGAGAUGACCCAGCUGUGGUGCUCCUCUCCUCACCCACGGCACAGGGCCAGCACACACAGCAAGAUUAGCAAGUCAGAGAUCACUCUGGUCAGAACAGCUGGAGAAGGUGAUUUAGGAGCAGACCCCUUCUAACCAGGGGCACCAGAUGGGUUAAUCCUUUCCUCAACACCUGGGGUCCUGUGAAGCACAAAAAGAAAAGCAUGAAAAUGUUCAAGAGAGGGGAAAGGCCCCUCCCCAUCCCAGUACUGGUGUGUGCUGAGGAGCUGAAGGAGAGGUCUGUGAGCCACAGCCAGGGCAGAGCUAUACUGUGUCCUGCAAAGCUCCCUUGGUUUGGUUCUGGCUCUCUGGAAUGGUGGAGUGGGUGGGUUUUUUUCCUCCUUUUUUUGUUUGUUUGGGUUUUUUUUUGUUUUUAAUCAGCAGCAGUUCCUGCUGUGGGAUGAGAUUGGAUGGGCCCCUGAAUGUCUUGAUUUUAUUAUUAUUGUUUGUAUUUUUAUACGGAUGGAGUUUAUGAAGGAAAUUUCAAACUUCUGGAAAGUAAUUACUAUUAUUAUUUUUUUUUUUCUGAAGCGAAUCUAAAUAAACCAAAGAAUGAAAGCUGGCUGUCGCACUGAGCAGUGUUUUCUGGCUGGGACGCGGCUGGGCUCCGGCCCUGACCAGCACAGUCUGCCCCUGCAGCUCAUGGCCAUGUUUAAGGGGAAUUUGCUUUCACCUGUCCUUGAACCCAGGGCACAGCCCUCAGCCCUGCGGGCUCCAGAGCCUGGCUGCCUCCCCAUGGUGUGCCCCUCUGCUCCCCACUGAGGCUCACAUUGCUCUGAAGCGGACAUAUCUCACUCGAGUCCACUUUUGUUCAGAUUUUGUCUCAAAAAGCCGUGAUUUGCCUCAAAGAAGAGAUAUUUCUCCCUCUCACAGCUGGGCUUUGCAAGGCGGUAGUGAAGCCCUGCUGAUUUCCACUUAUUCCCACCCCUGGAGGGCUAUGGGAUGGCUGCUUUGUAAAGUCAGCAGUCCCAAACACAAAAUUAAGCACAGUAUUAUGAAUGGUAUUUCCACUGCAUCACGUAUGGAGUGAUCAACACAGCUGUGGAAUGUUUCACAGAAUAUCACUGAAAUACACUUGCAUGGCCCAGCUAUUACAGUUGCCUUCUGUUUUGCAGGCAGGUUAAUUAGCAGCUCCCGAGCAACCAGAAUAAUGUCACCAUUCACUACAGCAGCACACUGCACUCGGUAAAAUCCUACUUAGUGCAGUAGACUGCCUUUCUACUCUAAUCUUCCUGUCAAUAUGAUUAUCUGGUCAGAUAACAGCUCACAUAAUAGGUAUCAAAUCCCCUCCAGGUAACCUUGCAGCAACACCCUGUUACCAGGCUUAGGGUGGAGAGCAGGCUGGGAUGCUGAGCACUAGGUUGCACCAUUCCCUAUGUGCAGAGAAUGAGGAACCCCCCCCCCCCUCCAUGCUUACAACAGCCCUUUUUCUCACAAAAUGGCCCCAGCUCCCUGUCCUGGCUCUUCUGCUGGUUAAGCAUUACCAGAAUGGCUGCAGCUGUGAGCAACAAAGCUCUGCAGCAGUUCCCCACCCUUCCCCUGAUUGCUGCACCUUCAUGCCACCCAGGGAAGCUCAGUGCUUUGUGGAAAUCAGAACAACCCCAAUUUCUUGGAGUGCAGACUUAACCUUUUACUGCUAUUUCUCACCCUCGAUACAGAAGGAAGUGCAUCACUCGUUCUGAGAGCAGAUUAAACAUCAGGAUUAAACAUUAACCUUCCUUGCUCCAUUUCCACCCCUGCAGAACAAGGGGCAGCUCCAGCCCUGCUCCCUGCUGCCCCAUCUCUCGCAGC
ensembl:lncRNA